rnacentral:rRNA from 1 species
GUCUAGGUCAUGCCACCCUGACAUGCCCGAUCUUGCCUGAUCUUGAAAACUAAGCAGGGUCGGGCCUGGUUAGUACUUGGAUGGGAGACCACCUAGGAAGACCGGGUGCAGUAGGCG